AACAACUCUCAGCAACAGAUAUCUUGGCUAUUGCAACAAUGAAGAACCCACCAAAAUGCUAUACCUAGUGGGAAUUGCAGAAUUCCGCGAAUCAUCUUGUCUUUGAACCCAAGUUGCGCCCGAUGCUUGCCCAAGGGCAUCUCUGCCAGAUCGUCACCG
rnacentral:rRNA from 1 species